CUAAUACUCCCUCCAUCCGAAAAUACUGUCAUCAAAAUGAACAAAAAAGGAUGUAUCUAGAACUAAAAUACGUCUAGAUACAUCGCCUUUUAUCCAUUUUGGUGACAAGUAUUUCCGGACGGAGGGAGUACCAA
rnacentral:pre_miRNA from 1 species